UUAGCUCAUAUUUGUAUGGAGUGGGAUCUUUUGCCUACGUUUGCCGCUAGGGGUGCUGUUCCAACUGCAUACAAAAUUGGGUUA
rnacentral:pre_miRNA from 1 species